CAUAGGUUAAUGAGGCGAACCGGGGGAACUGAAACAUCUAAGUACCCCGAGGAAAAGAAAUCAACCGAGAUUCCCCCAGUAGCGGCGAGCGAACGGGGAGGAGCCCAGAGCCUGAAUCAGUGUGUGUGUUAGUGGAAGCGUCUGGAAAGGCGCGCGAUACAGGGUGACAGCCCCGUACACAAAAAUGCACAUACUGUGAGCUCGAUGAGUAGGGCGGGACACGUGGUAUCCUGUCUGAAUAUGGGGGGACCAUCCUCCAAGGCUAAAUACUCCUGACUGACCGAUAGUGAACCAGUACCGUGAGGGAAAGGCGAAAAGAACCCCGGCGAGGGGAGUGAAAAAGAACCUGAAACCGUGUACGUACAAGCAGUGGGAGCCUCUUAAUGGGGUGACUGCGUACCUUUUGUAUAAUGGGUCAGCGACUUAUAUUCUGUAGCAAGGUUAACCGAAUAGGGGAGCCGAAGGGAAACCGAGUCUUAACUGGGCGUUAAGUUGCAGGGUAUAGACCCGAAACCCGGUGAUCUAGCCAUGGGCAGGUUGAAGGUUGGGUAACACUAACUGGAGGACCGAACCGACUAAUGUUGAAAAAUUAGCGGAUGACUUGUGGCUGGGGGUGAAAGGCCAAUCAAACCGGGAGAUAGCUGGUUCUCCCCGAAAGCUAUUUAGGUAGCGCCUCGUGAAUUCAUCUCCGGGGGUAGAGCACUGUUUCGGCAAGGGGGUCAUCCCGACUUACCAACCCGAUGCAAACUGCGAAUACCGGAGAAUGUUAUCACGGGAGACACACGGCGGGUGCUAACGUCCGUCGUGAAGAGGGAAACAACCCAGACCGCCAGCUAAGGUCCCAAAGUCAUGGUUAAGUGGGAAACGAUGUGGGAAGGCCCAGACAGCCAGGAUGUUGGCUUAGAAGCAGCCAUCAUUUAAAGAAAGCGUAAUAGCUCACUGGUCGAGUCGGCCUGCGCGGAAGAUGUAACGGGGCUAAACCAUGCACCGAAGCUGCGGCAGCGACGCUUAUGCGUUGUUGGGUAGGGGAGCGUUCUGUAAGCCUGUGAAGGUGGCCUGUGAGGGUUGCUGGAGGUAUCAGAAGUGCGAAUGCUGACAUAAGUAACGAUAAAGCGGGUGAAAAGCCCGCUCGCCGGAAGACCAAGGGUUCCUGUCCAACGUUAAUCGGGGCAGGGUGAGUCGACCCCUAAGGCGAGGCCGAAAGGCGUAGUCGAUGGGAAACAGGUUAAUAUUCCUGUACUUGGUGUUACUGCGAAGGGGGGACGGAGAAGGCUAUGUUGGCCGGGCGACGGUUGUCCCGGUUUAAGCGUGUAGGCUGGUUUUCCAGGCAAAUCCGGAAAAUCAAGGCUGAGGCGUGAUGACGAGGCACUACGGUGCUGAAGCGACAAAUGCCCUGCUUCCAGGAAAAGCCUCUAAGCAUCAGGUAACAUUAAAUCGUACCCCAAACCGACACAGGUGGUCAGGUAGAGAAUACCAAGGCGCUUGAGAGAACUCGGGUGAAGGAACUAGGCAAAAUGGUGCCGUAACUUCGGGAGAAGGCACGCUGAUAUGUAGGUGAAGCGACUUGCUCGUGGAGCUGAAAUCAGUCGAAGAUACCAGCUGGCUGCAACUGUUUAUUAAAAACACAGCACUGUGCAAACACGAAAGUGGACGUAUACGGUGUGACGCCUGCCCGGUGCCGGAAGGUUAAUUGAUGGGGUUAGCGGUAACGCGAAGCUCUUGAUCGAAGCCCCGGUAAACGGCGGCCGUAACUAUAACGGUCCUAAGGUAGCGAAAUUCCUUGUCGGGUAAGUUCCGACCUGCACGAAUGGCGUAAUGAUGGCCAGGCUGUCUCCACCCGAGACUCAGUGAAAUUGAACUCGCUGUGAAGAUGCAGUGUACCCGCGGCAAGACGGAAAGACCCCGUGAACCUUUACUAUAGCUUGACACUGAACAUUGAGCCUUGAUGUGUAGGAUAGGUGGGAGGCUUUGAAGUGUGGACGCCAGUCUGCAUGGAGCCGACCUUGAAAUACCACCCUUUAAUGUUUGAUGUUCUAACGUGGGCCCCUUACCGGGGUUGCGGACAGUGUCUGGUGGGUAGUUUGACUGGGGCGGUCUCCUCCUAAAGAGUAACGGAGGAGCACGAAGGUUGGCUAAUCCUGGUCGGACAUCAGGAGGUUAGUGCAAUGGCAUAAGCCAGCUUGACUGCGAGCGUGACGGCGCGAGCAGGUGCGAAAGCAGGUCAUAGUGAUCCGGUGGUUCUGAAUGGAAGGGCCAUCGCUCAACGGAUAAAAGGUACUCCGGGGAUAACAGGCUGAUACCGCCCAAGAGUUCAUAUCGACGGCGGUGUUUGGCACCUCGAUGUCGGCUCAUCACAUCCUGGGGCUGAAGUAGGUCCCAAGGGUAUGGCUGUUCGCCAUUUAAAGUGGUACGCGAGCUGGGUUUAGAACGUCGUGAGACAGUUCGGUCCCUAUCUGCCGUGGGCGCUGGAGAACUGAGGGGGGCUGCUCCUAGUACGAGAGGACCGGAGUGGACGCAUCACUGGUGUUCGGGUUGUCAUGCCAAUGGCACUGCCCGGUAGCUAAAUGCGGAAGAGAUAAGUGCUGAAAGCAUCUAAGCACGAAACUUGCCCCGAGAUGAGUUCUCCCUGACUCCUUGAGAGUCCUGAAGGAACGUUGAAGACGACGACGUUGAUAGGCCGGGUGUGUAAGCGCAGCGAUGCGUUGAGCUAACCGGUACUAAUGAACCGUGAGG
rnacentral:rRNA from 2 species